AUACAGAGAAGUAAGAUGAGAGGAGCUGCCUCAGGAAAGGAGUCAGCUGGUUCGCAGUCAAAGAAUUUUAUUAUAAAAACAAGGAAGAACAAGCAGAAGGCUCCUGGCAACUGAGACGGUGGCAGUACCAGUGAAGUCCCCUCGGGCGAAAAGGGCACGGCCUAACCCCACUGUGGAGAGUGAGGAGGCAGUCAAGAGUAGGACGGAGGUGAAGGUGAAGAUCCCUGAAGAAUUAAAACCAUGGCUGGUGGAGGACUGGGACUUGGUUACUAGGCAGAAGCAGUUGUUCCAGCUCCCUGCUAAAAAGAAUGUAGAUGCUAUUCUUGAGGAGUAUGCCAAUUGCAAGAAGUCACAGGGAAAUGUUGAUAAUAAGGAGUAUGCAGUUAAUGAAGUUGUAGGAGGGAUAAAAGAGUAUUUCAAUGUGAUGCUGGGUACUUAGCUGCUCUACAAGUUUGAGAGGCCUCAGUACGCUGAGAAUCUGCUGGCUCACCCUGAUGCGCCAAUGUCGCAGAUCUAUGGGUCGCCACACCUACUGAGAUUAUUUGUGCGAAUUGGGGCAAUGUUGGCCUAUUCGCCUCUUGAUGAGAAAAGCCUGGCAUUGUUGCUGGGCUAUCUGCAUGAUUUCCUUAAGUAUCUGGCAAAGAAUUCUGCCUCUCUGUUUACUGCCAGUGAUUACAAAGUGGCUUCUGCUGACUAUCAUCGCAAAGCCCUGUGAAGGUCUACUGACCACUCGCUAUUGUCUGGUGUCUGGAAACACUUCUGUUUAGUCCUUUC